rnacentral:rRNA from 1 species
UACAGAGGUCUCAAGCGUUGUUCGGAUUCAUUGGGCGUAAAGGGUGCGUAGGUGGCGCCGUAAGUCGGAUGUGAAAUUUCGGAGCUUAACUCCGAAACUGCAUUCGAUACUGCGGUGCUUGAGGACUGGAGAGGAGACUGGAAUUCAUGGUGUAGCAGUGAAAUGCGUAGAGAUCAUAAGGAAGACCAGUGGCGAAGGCGGGUCUCUGGACAGUUCCUGACACUGAGGCACGAAGGCCAGGGGAGCAAACGGG